CACGUAGGGUGCGAGCGUUGUCCGGAAUUAUUGGGCGUAAAGAGCUCGUAGGCGGUGUGUCGCGUCGGCCGUGAAAACCUGCAGCUUAACUGUGGGCUUGCGGUCGAUACGGGCAUCACUGGAGUUCGGCAGGGGAGACUGGAAUUCCUGGUGUAGCGGUGAAAUGCGCAGAUAUCAGGAGGAACACCGGUGGCGAAGGCGGCAUCCUGGACCGGAGAUUGA
rnacentral:rRNA from 1 species